rnacentral:rRNA from 1 species
CUACGGGUUGCUGCAGUGGGGAAUAUUGCACAAUGGGCGCAAGCCUGAUGCAGCCAUGCCGCGUGUAUGAAGAAGGCCUUCGGGUUGUAAAGUACUUUCAGCGGGGAGGAAGGGAGUAAAGUUAAUACCUUUGCUCAUUGACGUUACCCGCAGAAGAAGCACCGGCUAACUCCGGCCAGCAGCCGCGGUAAUACGGAGGGUGCAAGCGUUAAUCGGAAUUACUGGGCGUAAAGCGCACGCAGGCGGUUUGUUAAGUCAGAUGUGAAAUCCCCGGGCUCAACCUGGGAACUGCAUCUGAUACUGGCAAGCUUGAGUCUGGGAGAGGGGGGUAGAAUUCCAGGUGUAGCGGUGAUAUGCGUAGAGAUCUGGAGGAAUACCGGUGGCGAAGGCGGCCCCCUGGACGAAGACUGACGCUCAGGUGCGAAAGCGUGGGGAGCAAACAGGAUUAGAUACCCUAGUAGUC